rnacentral:rRNA from 1 species
GACGAACGCUGGCGGCGUGCCUAAUACAUGCAAGUAGAACGCUGAAGAGAGGAGCUUGCUCUUCUUGGAUGAGUUGCGAACGGGUGAGUAACGCGUAGGUAACCUGCCUGGUAGCGGGGGAUAACUAUUGGAAACGAUAGCUAAUACCGCAUAAAAUUGAUUAUUGCAUGAUAAUUAAUUGAAAGAUGCAAUUGCAUCACUACCAGAUGGACCUGCGUUGUAUUAGCUAGUUGGUGAGGUAACGGCUCACCAAGGCGACGAUACAUAGCCGACCUGAGAGGGUGAUCGGCCACACUGGGACUGAGACACGGCCCAGACUCCUACGGGAGGCAGCAGUAGGGAAUCUUCGGCAAUGGGGGGAACCCUGACCGAGCAACGCCGCGUGAGUGAAGAAGGUUUUCGGAUCGUAAAGCUCUGUUGUAAGAGAAGAACGGGUGUGAGAGUGGAAAGUUCACACUGUGACGUAUCUACCAGAAAGGACGCA